GAGGACUCACCCUGUAAGAGGGGCAUGUGGAAUGGGAGGUAUUAUGGCUGCCAUCUUUAGAAAUUACAAUUUGCCACAGGUUGUGUUCCCUAGAAGCAGAGGUUGAAAUAGGGGUUCUUUUGUGAGUUAAGGAAGAGGGAGAAGCUAAGCGAGGAUGUAGCUUCAGGUGAAGUCCAGCUUCAACCUGAUCUUGUAGGCAGCACUGGAUCUCACAUUGUCUGCAGCAUUUGUCCUUCCUUGAGGCAAAAAAGUGGGGCUUUUGUACACACAUAUCAGUCAACCCUUAGCUUAGGGAAGCCCCAGGGGAAGGGUUGUAACUCCUAGGUAUCUCGUAGACAGGCAACUCCUCUUGCUUAAAGGCAUUUCCCAGACAAGGCUUGCUCUGUGAGCCUUUAAUAGCAGUUAAUAAAAAGAUUGCCAGAGAUCUGAUUGGGACUGCAACAGCCUCAGCUACAUUAAGAUAUGGGGGCACAUUCAAGGCCUGUUUUAUAGAGACUAGCAGAGACCAUAUAAGAAUCACUAACAUGAGCUGCAUACGCUGGAGGCCCCUCUGCUGUCAUUAUUUUAUGUGCUGGAAAACGCUGCGAUGGGAAGACAGCCCAGUCAGAUGGGGAUGGCCUGGAAUAGGAGCCAGGAUCUCUUGGCAUACAUUUACCUCAGCCGCACUCUUCAGUGCUCUGCAUCCAGGCUACGCGGAGGCUGCAUGUUACAGGAGCCGUGCAUCCCUGAAGACUUGGAAUAAGUCAAGAUUUACAUAAUCC
rnacentral:lncRNA from 1 species